rnacentral:rRNA from 1 species
GACGUAGGGCGCGAGCGUUGUCCGGAAUUAUUGGGCGUAAAGAGCUUGUAGGCGGUCUGUCGCGUCUGCUGUGAAAAUCUGGGGCUCAACCCCGGACUUGCAGUGGGUACGGGCAGACUAGAGUGUGGUAGGGGAGACUGGAAUUCCUGGUGUAGCGGUGAAAUGCGCAGAUAUCAGGAGGAACACCGAUGGCGAAGGCAGGUCUCUGGGCCAACUACUGACGCUG